GGGGUCGCCCUGGUAGUAGUUGUAGGUUUUCAUACAGUACCCAAGACCAGUCUGUGUUAAUUUGACCAUAGGAAAAAAGAGAUACUGCGUAAAUACUGCAAUGCGGUUUGGAUUGAGUUGAGCCCCUUCAUUUACAAGGUGAUGAUUGCACUUUCCUCCCAACACAAUACCGCAGUACCGCAGCAUACCCCCCAUAAGGGAUUCGAACUUACACUGCAAGUGGCAAUAGAUGUCAGGAAGUCACCACAUAACAACUGUGAACUUUCCAGAGACGUAUUUGUUCGCAAUGCACAUGAUUUUAUUAUCAGAGCGUGUCAGUGGACUCCUGGUAAGUUCAGUGAGAGAGUGUUGGGAUCAGGUACAACUACAUUUACCCGCCCCCAAAAUGAAUAUUUAUGAGCAAGUCCCGCCCCAUCCACAACUUCUCACCUGAAUGCAUUUUUUUCUUUCCAAUGUCAAGGGGUUGGACAAAGGCUGAAAUUGG